rnacentral:rRNA from 1 species
UACGUAGGGGGCUAGCGUUGUCCGGAAUCAUUGGGCGUAAAGAGCGUGUAGGCGGCCCGGUAAGUCCGCUGUAAAAGUCAAAGGCUCAACCUUUGAAUGUCAGUGGAUACUGCCAGGCUAGAGUCCGGAAGAGGCGAGUGGAACUCCUGGUGUAGCGGUGGAAUGCGCAGAUAUCAGGAAGAACACCAACGGCGAAGGCAGCUCGCUGGGACGGUACUGACGCUGAGGAGCGAAAGUGUGGGGAGCGAACAGG